UCGUAGGUACCACCACCACG
rnacentral:sRNA from 1 species